rnacentral:rRNA from 1 species
UGAGGAAUAUUGGUCAAUGGACGAAAGUCUGAACCAGCCAAGUAGCGUGCAGGACGACGGCCCUCUGGGUUGUAAACUGCUUUUAGUUGGGAAUAAAAAGAGGGACGUGUCCCUUAUUGUAUGUACCAUCAGAAAAAGGACCGGCUAAUUCCGUGCCAGCAGCCGCGGUAAUACGGAAGGUCCAGGCGUUAUCCGGAUUUAUUGGGUUUAAAGGGAGCGCAGGCGGCGGCGUAAGUCAGUUGUGAAAUCGUGCGGCUUAACCGUGCAAUUGCAGUUGAUACUGCGUCGCUUGAGUGCACACAGGGAUGUUGGAAUUCAUGGUGUAGCGGUGAAAUGCUUAGAUAUCAUGAAGAACUCCGAUCGCGAAGGCAUAUGUCCGGAGUGCAACUGACGCUGAGGCUCGAAAGUGUGGGUAUCAAACAGGAUUAGAUACCCUGGUAGUCCACACAGUAAACGAUGAAUACUCGCGGUUGGUUCGUUAGAAUCAGCCGCCAAGCGAAAGCGUUAAGUAUUCCACCUGGGGAGUACGCCGGCAACGGUGAAACUCAAAGGAAUUGACGGGGGCCCGCACAAGCGGAGGAACAUGUGGUUUAAUUCGAUGAUACGCGAGGAACCUUACCCGGGCUUGAACUGCCAGUGACUCAUGCAGAGACGCAUGUUUCUUCGGACACUGGCGGAGGUGCUGCAUGGUUGUCGUCAGCUCGUGCCGUGAGGUGUCGGCUUAAGUGCCAUAACGAGCGCAACCCUUCUCCCUGUUUGCCAUCGGGUAAUGCCGGGCACUCCAGGGACACUGCCAUCGUAAGAUGUGAGGAAGGUGGGGAUGACGUCAAAUCAGCACGGCCCUUACGUCCGGGGCUACACACGUGUUACAAUGGGCGGUACAGAAAGCAGCUACCCCGCGAGGGGAUGCCAAUCUCAAAAACCGUUCUCAGUUCGGACUGGAGUCUGCAACCCGACUCCACGAAGCUGGAUUCGCUAGUAAUCGCGCAUCAGCCAUGGCGCGGUGAAUACGUUCCC